UGGUUUGAUUAUGGCUCAGAGUGAACGCUGGCGGCGUGCCUAAUACAUGCAAGUCGAACGAUGAAGCUCUAGCUUGCUAGAGUGGAUUAGUGGCGCACGGGUGAGUAAUGCAUAGAUAACAUGCCCUUUAGUCUAGGAUAGCCAUUGGAAACGAUGAUUAAUACUGGAUACUCCUUACGAGGGAAAGUUUUUCGCUAAAGGAUUGGUCUAUGUCCUAUCAGCUUGUUGGUGAGGUAAUGGCUCACCAAGGCUAUGACGGGUAUCCGGCCUGAGAGGGUGAACGGACACACUGGAACUGAGACACGGUCCAGACUCCUACGGGAGGCAGCAGUAGGGAAUAUUGCUCAAUGGGGGAAACCCUGAAGCAGCAACGCCGCGUGGAGGAUGAAGGUUUUCGGAUUGUAAACUCCUUUUGUUAGAGAAGAUAAUGACGGUAUCUAACGAAUAAGCACCGGCUAACUCCGUGCCAGCAGCCGCGGUAAUACGGAGGGUGCAAGCGUUACUCGGAAUCACUGGGCGUAAAGAGCGCGUAGGCGGGAUAGCAAGUCAGAUGUGAAAUCCUAUGGCUUAACCAUAGAACUGCAUUUGAAACUGUUAUUCUAGAGUAUGGGAGAGGUAGGUGGAAUUCUUGGUGUAGGGGUAAAAUCCGUAGAGAUCAAGAGGAAUACUCAUUGCGAAGGCGACCUGCUAGAACAUAACUGACGCUGAUGCGCGAAAGCGUGGGGAGCAAACAGGAUUAGAUACCCUGGUAGUCCACGCCCUAAACGAUGAAUGCUAGUUGUUGUGGAGCUUGUCUCUGCAGUAAUGCAGCUAACGCAUUAAGCAUUCCGCCUGGGGAGUACGGUCGCAAGAUUAAAACUCAAAGGAAUAGACGGGGACCCGCACAAGCGGUGGAGCAUGUGGUUUAAUUCGAAGAUACACGAAGAACCUUACCUAGGCUUGACAUUGAUAGAAUCCGCUAGAGAUAGUGGAGUGCUAGCUUGCUAGAACUUGAAAACAGGUGCUGCACGGCUGUCGUCAGCUCGUGUCGUGAGAUGUUGGGUUAAGUCCCGCAACGAGCGCAACCCUCGUCCUUAGUUGCUAACUAUUCGGUAGAGCACUCUAAGGAGACUGCCUUCGCAAGGAGGAGGAAGGUGAGGAUGACGUCAAGUCAUCAUGGCCCUUACGCCUAGGGCUACACACGUGCUACAAUGGGAAGCACAAAGAGAUGCAAUAUUGUGAAAUGGAGCAAAUCUAUAAAACUUCUCUCAGUUCGGAUUGUAGUCUGCAACUCGACUACAUGAAGCUGGAAUCGCUAGUAAUCGUAAAUCAGCUAUGUUACGGUGAAUACGUUCCCGGGUCUUGUACUCACCGCCCGUCACACCAUGGGAGUUGUAUUCGCCUUAAGUCGGAAUGCCAAACUGGCUACCGCCCACGGCGGAUGCAGCAACUGGGGUGAAGUCGUAACAAGGUAACC
rnacentral:rRNA from 1 species